rnacentral:rRNA from 1 species
UACGUAGGGGGCGAGCGUUGUCCGGAAUCAUUGGGCGUAAAGGGCGCGUAGGCGGCUCGGUAAGUAGGGGGUGAAAUCCUGCGGCUUAACCGCAGGGCUGCCUUCUAAACUGUCGAGCUUGAGCACGGUAGAGGCAGAUGGAAUUCCCGGUGUAGCGGUGGAAUGCGUAGAGAUCGGGAAGAACAUCAGUGGCGAAGGCGGUCUGCUGGGCCGUUGCUGACGCUGAGGCGCGACAGCGUGGGGAGCAAACAGG